CCCCGACCCUCGGCUCCUCCCGAACCGCCCGCGCCCUCCCCUCCCCACGGAGGGACGGACGGACGGACAGAGGGAGAGAGGGAGGGACAGAAGGGCGGAGGGAGGCGGCUCUAGGCCGGGGGGAGGAACUACAAGUCCCGUGAAGCCGCGCCGCCCGCCCGCCGCCGCGGGGCUAUAAAAGGGGGAAUGGCCCGGCGGCCGCAGUCGGAGCAUCCCUGGCCGCGGCGGAGCCGCUCCCGCCGCCCGUCCCGGCGAUAUUCCCGGUGGGAGCGGGGCGAUAGCCGGACCCCCGGAGCGGGCUGGGGCUCUGCGGAGGGAGGAUGCGGAGGAUGAGGAGGAUGAGGAGGAUGCCGCUCCGCGCACCGCGGGAGCCGCAGCCCCGGGAGGCUGCGGGCGCUGCCGGCGGAGGCGGAGGUGGAGGUGGAGGUUUCGUCAUUCCUGCAGGGACAGACCCCGGGAGCUGCUGGAACCUCCUCGUGCCAGCGGUGAGGACACCAGGGCGGGAGUGGCACUCGUCCCCUCGGCCAGGGAAAGGCUCCCGAGGCAGGAUUUGUCCCUGGAUGGUUCCUGUGGCUGGGGUCCCCAGCCCUGAGCCUCGCCUGGGCUUCGGAUGCUCCCUUCUGUCAGCAGCUGGGAAUGGCAGGGCCGUUCCUCCCGCUCCUCCCGGAUCCUGUGGAUUUACUGCUCUUGGCAUCUCCUGCUGGGACGGGCUCUGGCGUGGGGAAUCUCCGCGGGAAGGAUGGGGAAAAGCAGCACCUGCAGCCUGAGGCUACAAUUCCCUCUUUUUCUGGGCUACUCUGAGCAUCCCGGCUCUGCAGGAGGAAGGAUUCCAUGCGCUCCUGGAGGACAAAUCCCGCUGCUCUGAUGUCUGUGGUGCAGACGUUGGUGCUUGGGGUGGCCGAGUCCUGUCCUGGUGCUGCACUUCUUCCCGGAAUGGUUUGGAAUCUUAAACUUUAUUGUGUGCCAGAGACAAGGGACACCUUCCUUAGCACAGGCUGCUGUCCGAGCUGGCCUUGCAGCCCCGCAGGAAGGAUGGAUCCAGCUGCAGAGCUGCUCCCCUGGAGCUGCAGGCCAGAUCUUCAUCGGGAUCUUCAGCAGUCCCUUUUCAAACCCUGGCUGUGAAAUCUCCCUUGUCCCCGGCGCUUUGUCCCCAUCAGUUACUCGGUGCCGGGGCAUCCCAGAGCCGGAUCUGUCCCUGAGGGAUGCUCCAGGGAAGCCCAGGGCUGCUGGGGGCAGGGGAGGUUUGGGCUCAGUGCAAACAGUUUUAGGGACUCUGUGGCCCUGCUCAGCCCCUGUGGCAUCCCAUGGAAUCAUUGUGGCUGGAAAAGCCCUCCAAGGUCACAGAGUCCAAGGCCACCACUGCCCCAUGUCCCCAGUGCCACAGAUUCCCUUCGGAAGGGAUUUCCCGUGGA